GCCCACGUAAGUAAUUUCAGCUUUGAUGAAUGUCUUUUAUGUGUGUGUUCUGCGAACGUAAGCAUAAGAAGUAAAGGAGAAAUUGACUUACAUGAACAACUACACUCUCAUCUGCAGUAACACCUUUUAGUAAAUUCCUUUGAGCAACUUCUGCAGCAGACAUACCAGAUGACUGAUUUGCUUUAAUAGUAACCUCAGACUUCAAGCUUGCAUCUACUAUAUCACGUUUUACUGUAAUGGAAAAGUCUCCCACACGAUCUUCAUGCAAGAUUGCCCCCUUUUGGAUAUUGAUUGUAUCUUGAGUGUGUAAAUUUGAAUCAACGAGACGGCGUAUUGCUCCAACAGCUUUCAAAAUUGAGACAUCAACAAAUUGGUUAUGAAGCAAAAAGGCUUUCCAACAAAUUGGUUAUGAAGCAAAAAGGCAGCUUUCAAAAUUGAGACAUCAACAAAUUGGUUAUGAAGCAAAAAGGCUUUCCGAUCUCUAACCACCCUCUCCUCUUCAGUUUUGCAAGGAAGCGUAGCCAGUAUAGCAAAUUCCGUGGCCCAUGGUCGUAAAUCAUGUUCUCCAUCUCUUCCCUGGCCUCCGCCAUUGCCACCCCAAUUCUCAUCUUCUGCCGGGAGGCAUGGGAAAUUUGAUGGAGACUCAGCAACAGAUGGAGGUACAAGCCACGUAUUAGCUCGAAAUCCAUAGGGAAGAUUACCAAACUGAAGAAGGAUAAUGAAUAUACUAUAUCAGU
rnacentral:lncRNA from 1 species